rnacentral:rRNA from 1 species
CCUUUGUACACACCGCCCGUCGCUACUACCGAUUGAAUGGCUUAGUGAGACCUCCGGAUUGGCUUUGAGGAGCGGGCGACCGCACCUUGUUGCUGAGAAGCUGGUCAAACUUGGUCAUUUAGAGG